rnacentral:misc_RNA from 1 species
AUAGUCCUUUCACGAAUUCGGAUCUCUGAACCUUCUCUUCCUGAUCCUUGUCCAUUGAGGGAAAUGCUUGGGAGCUUUCACUAAUAUGGUCAUCUAGGCUGUUGUUGGAUACACUUGGUUCGUCUGAAGUGCAGGGCUGUCUUGUAGGAGAUCUUUUAGCAGGCUGCUGAUUGCCAACAAAUGAUAACAGUAACUGGUUGGUUUCCGUAUUUGAGGAAGAACUAACAUGGCUGGACUUCUUUUCCAAAUAAACACUCAACAACUCUUUCCUCAGUAAGGAUAAGGCUGAGAAAGAUCCACCAUUUUUAUGUUUCCUUUUGCAAAGUGCUUUUAAAAUGCUUUCAUGCUGCACGAUGACGUGUGUAGCCAUAUUUGUUCGCACCUUGGUAGCACAUAGAGGACAUAUCCCGGUCUUAGCCUCUAUCCGAUGCUCGCUAUCAAUGUGACAGCACAAUCCAAGCAUAUCAAAGUCUUCUGAACAAAACGGGCAUGCCAAAUCCGUCUUUACAUUAUCAUCAUGAACAUCUUCAUCUUCAUCAUCCUCUUCCUCAUCGUCCUCUUCCUCACUGUCUGAAUCAGAGUCCUCCCCACCUUCCAGGAAAUGCAGAGUAGGGCACUGGGCUUCCUCCUGGGCACCAUAAGCCCCGA